rnacentral:lncRNA from 1 species
CUGGCGCCCCUUCUCUCUGCCCCAGCAAAUCGACCCUAGUCGCGGUGUAGGUUCGGAACGCGGUGUGACGGCGAAAGGAGGAGAGAGAGAUGUGGAACAGAGAGGAUGUCGCCGCGGGGAUAAAUCACCUACUGUGGCGAGGGAGCCUUGAAUGUUGAUCUGGGAGACUCACUGGGAUCCUGGGAGCGUGGUCGUGAUCUAUCGAAGCCUGGGAACCAGGCUGGGUCGAGCGAUUGCUUGCCGCCGUUGUGCUCCGCCAUGGUCUCGCCACGUGCUGUGGGCGGCCAUGUCCAUGCUUCGUGUCACGGUGAGACCUCAUCUACCUUACUUACCUUUUUCGGUUCUUCGCGUAGUACAACCUGCGAUGGGUUUUGGGGUGCGCGGGGUACAGUACUGCUCCUCUCCGGCGAGUACGCCACCGGGCGAGCGCUGUUCCUCGCGCUGGAUUGCUCCGUCGAUGGCGUGAGGCGUAUCCGCCGUCGAUCAGAGAACGAUAGGGCGCGAUUAGUUUACCUUACUGGCGCGAGGAGGACAAAGUUCGGUCGUUGGAUCGUGGAUGAAGGAUUGGGAUCGAAUCUCGUGCGUAUUAGAUCUGGGAUGUUCAUCCUGAGCCCAACGAUGCAGAUUAGAUCUAGGUUAAUAAGUCCUGACCCUUGGAUUUAGAUCUGAAGGGUAGUUUCGCGUACCGGUUCAUUAAGCGCCCAAUCUAAUAUGCACCAUCGGAUCAAAAUCUAACGGCUCUGGAUGCUUGGUACCCCAUCGCCGAGCCAGUUUCACAGAUGAGCCCCUCGGUUUAUUUGAUAUCAACCCACCAUCCUAUCCUAGUAUAAAGUAAUUACGGUUGGGCCCUAGAAUUUAUAGAAAUGACCCCGAGCUCUCUAGUAUUUGCAUCUGCAUUCCAUUAAUCCCAGAAAUUCAUAAAAUAAGUGUUAAAAAUACAUAGAAACUUGUUUAUUCCAUAACUUAUUCAUUUAACUCUGAUUUGAUCCAUUCAAAUUGUGUUAGCUUUAUAAAAAUAUUUUCUACACAGUGGCAACAUUAAUUGUACCAUAGAACAUAUUUUUAUAAUUAGAUAUUUGUUUAGCCUAUUAUGCCUUUUAACCAAAGUUAAACUAGACCAUGAUAGUGAUUCAAAUAUAAUAUGAUUUCUAAACAAGUUAUAACCUGGAUUAAAGUUUACUUAACUAUUUGGAGUAUAUUUUCUCAUAUGAUGUAUAUUAACCAAUUUAUAAUAUAGUUUAACAUUUAAAUCACAUUUAUCUUCCAUAAAUCAUAACCCCCUUAACCGUAACUCCGAAUUUAGUUGUUCUCGAACCCACGAUCUCGUAGUGACGCGUAGAUUACUAUUAUGCAGUUUGUACUUAUGUAUGGUGUGAUGUAAUUUUGUCUAUAUCAUGUUUGUUUGUAUUGCUACGACUAGCAGCGAGGUCACGAGUCAUCUGAAAAACAAGUUGGUACUUGGAAUCUCAAGCCCCAGGCAAGUUGUGCCCUUGAUCACUUCUUUUACCCAGUCAUGUUCUUAUU